rnacentral:rRNA from 1 species
UGGGGAAUUUUCCGCAAUGGGCGCAAGCCUGACGGAGCAAUACCGCGUGAGGGAGGAAGGCUUUUGGGUUGUAAACCUCUUUUCUCAAGGAAGAAGCACUGACGGUACUUGAGGAAUCAGCAUCGGCUAACUCCGUGCCAGCAGCCGCGGUAAUACGGAGGAUGCAAGCGUUAUUCGGAAUUAUUGGGCGUAAAGCGUCCGCAGGUGGUGCCUCAAGUCUGCUGUCAAAGACCGAAGCUCAACUUCGGGCAGGCAGUGGAAACUGAAGCACUAGAGUACGGUAGGGGUAGAGGGAAUUUCCAGUGUAGCGGUGAAAUGCGUAGAGAUCGGCAGGAACACCCAGGGGGAAGCCAGCAUACUGGACAGGUCCUGACACUCAGGUGCGACAGCGUGGGGAGCGAACCGGAUUAGAUACCCCCGUAGUCC